GACGGAGGGUGCUAGCGUUGUUCGGAAUUACUGGGCGUAAAGGGCGCGUAGGCGGUCUCGUCAGUCGGGUGUGAAAGCCCGGGGCUCAACCCCGGAACGGCACCCGAGACGGCGGGACUGGAGACCGGGAGAGGAGGGUGGAAUAGCCAGUGUAGAGGUGAAAUUCGUAGAUAUUGGCUGGAACACCGGUGGCGAAAGCGGCUCUCUGGCCCGGUUCUGACGCUGAGGCGCGAAAGCGUGGGGGAGCAAACAGGG
rnacentral:rRNA from 1 species